rnacentral:rRNA from 1 species
CCUACGGGUGGCAGCAGUGGGGAAUAUUGCACAAUGGGGGAAACCCUGAUGCAGCGACGCCGCGUGAGUGAAGAAGUAAUUCGUUAUGUAAAGCUCUAUCAGCAGGGGAGAAACAGCCGGUACCUGAGUAAGAAGCCCCGGCUAACUACGUGCCAGCACCAGCGGUAAUACGUAGGGGGCAAGCGUUAUCCGGAUUUACUGGGUGUAAAGGGAGCGUAGACGGCGAAGAAAGUCUGAAGUGAAACCCCGCGGCUUAACCCCGGAACCGCUUUGGAAACUUGUUUUCUGGAGUACCGGAGAGGUAAGCGGAAUGCCUAGUGUAGCGGUGAAAUGCGUAGAUAUUGGGAGGAACACCAGUGGCGAAGGCAGCUUACUGGACGGUAACUGACGUUGAGGCUCGAAAGCGUGGGGAGCGAACAGGAUUAGAUACCCGAGUAGUC